UAGGAUCCCUUCGGGGUGACUUUGAUGCUGACGAGCGGCGGACGGGUGAGUAACGCGUAGGAAUCUACCCAGUAGGCGGGGAUAGCCCGGGGAAACCCGGAUUAAUACCGCAUAAUCUCUACGGAGUAAAGGGGGCCUCUAUUUAUAAGCUUUCACUAUUUGAUGAGCCUGCGUAAGAUUAGCUUGUUGGUGAGGUAAAAGCUCACCAAGGCGACGAUCUUUAGCUGGUCUGAGAGGAUGAUCAGCCACACUGGGACUGAGACACGGCCCAGACUCC
rnacentral:rRNA from 1 species